GCAGUAGCCACGGUAAUGCGUAGGGUGCAAGCGUUAAUCGGAAUUACUGGGCGUAAAGCAUGCGCAGGCGGUUCGUUAAGGCAGAUGUGAAAUCCCCGGGCUUAACCUGGGAACUGCAUUUGUGACUGGCGGGCUAGAGUAUGGCAGAGGGGGGUAGAAUUCCACGUGUAGCAGUGAAAUGCGUAGGGAUGUGGAGGAAUACCGAUGGCGAAGGCAGCCCCCUGGGCCAAUACUGACGCUCAUGCACGAAAGCGUGGGGAGCAAACAGGAUUAGAUACCCGCGUAGUCCCUGUCUCUUAUAC
rnacentral:rRNA from 1 species